GGGUCGUUAGCUCAAUUGGUAGAGCAGUGGACUCUUAAUCCAUUGGUUGUAGGUUCAAGUCCUACACGGCCCACCA
rnacentral:tRNA from 2 species